rnacentral:rRNA from 1 species
UACCUACGGGGGGCAGCAGUGGGGAAUAUUGCACAAUGGGGGGAACCCUGAUGCAGCGACGCCGCGUGGGUGAAGGAGCACCUCGGUGCGUAAAGCCCUAUCGGCAGGGAAGAAAAGCGAACAGGUUCGCCUGGACGGUACCUGACUAAGAAGCCCCGGCUAACUACGUGCCAGCAGCCGCGGUAAUACGUAGGGAGCGAGCGUUAUCCGGAAUUAUUGGGUGUAAAGGGUGCGUAGACGGGAAAGCAAGUUAGUUGUGAAAUCCCUCGGCUUAACUGAGGAACUGCAACUAAAAC